CCUACGGGUGGCAGCAGUGGGGAAUAUUGGACAAUGGGGGCAACCCUGAUCCAGCCAUGCCGCGUGUGUGAAGAAGGCCCUCGGGUUGGAAAGCACUUUCAGUGAGGAAGAACGCCUGGUGGUUAAUACCCAUCAGGAAAGACAUCACUCACAGAAGACGCACCGGCUAACUCCGGCCAGCAGCCGCGGUAAUACGGAGGGUGCGAGCGUUAAUCGGAAUUACUGGGCGUAAAGCGCGCGUAGGUGGCUUGAUAAGCCGGUUGUGAAAGCCCCGGGCUCAACCUGGGAACGGCAUCCGGAACUGUCAAGCUAGAGUGCAGGAGAGGAAGGUAGAAUUCCCGGUGUAGCGGUGAAAUGCGUAGAGAUCGGGAGGAAUACCAGUGGCGAAGGCGGCCUUCUGGACUGACACUGACACUGAGGUGCGAAAGCGUGGGUAGCAAACAGGAUUAGAUACCCUUGUAGUC
rnacentral:rRNA from 1 species